rnacentral:snoRNA from 1 species
AGUCUCUUUCCCAAGGAGAAUGGGCACUGUCGAUUGCAGCAUCUGGAAACUGAUCAUGGGGCUAACUUGAGACUCAGGCGACGCCUCCAUCACAGCAAAUGUACUGUGGUCGUGACAGUGAGACCUGCCACAUUU